ACCGGGAUAGCUCAGUUGGUUAGAGCAGGAGACUCUUAUGCUCUGGGUGGUGGGUUCGAGCCCCAUGUUGGGCA